rnacentral:misc_RNA from 1 species
GAUGAAGAACGCAGCGAAAUGCGAUACUUGGUGUGAAUUGCAGAAUCCCGUGAACCAUCGAGUCUUUGAACGCAAGUUGCGCCCGAAGCCAUUAGGCCGAGGGCACGCCUGCCUGGGCGUCACACGUCGUUGCCCCCCCAUCUACUCCUUCGGGAUUGCGGGGGGCGGAUGAUGGCCUCCCGUGCGCCUCGUCGCGCGGUUGGCCUAAAUGCCAAGUCCUCGGCGACGCACGCCACGACAAUCGGUGGUUGCGAAACCUCGGUUGCCUGUCGUGUGCGGUCGUCGCGCAUCGAGGGCUCGAAAAAAUUGCCGGGCUUCGGCUCGACUUUCAACGCGACCCCAGGUCAGGCGGGGUUACCCACUGAAUUUAAGCAUAUCAAUAAGCGGAGGA